rnacentral:lncRNA from 1 species
CCACACAUCAUUAUUUUGUUAAAAUCAACAAAUUACUUCAUAGCUAACUUGAGCGUUAUCCAACCUGCUGUCCAAGGUAGAACUGCCCUAGGUUGUGAACAACAACUGCAACCCUUCACGAUCAUAGUUAGCCAUAGGCUUUAUAUCGGAUAACGGCCCUGCACCAUGACAAACCCGAAACAACAAAAUGAACCCGCAAAGUAUCCCCAACAGACCGAAUUGAAAACAAUAUAGAUAAAGAAAAUGAACAAAAUUUUGAUGUGAAUUAAAUCCUGACUUUAAUAAUUGCAACAAACAUGAUAUGGUUUGAAUGAUACUUUCCUAUUAACACAAGCUUAGAUCUACAUUUUUCAAAAUCAUCUUUUAAUCAAAUUGAAUUGAACAAAUAUCUAAGAUCUAUAUUACAAAUUAUUCUAUCAAUCCUACAUGUGUUAAACUAAACCUUUUUACAAUUACUUAACACUGCAACCUAAGCUUAUCAAUCGCUAAACUGUAACAAACAGUUAAAAGCUUUUGAAGGUGAGUUUUUUUUUUUUUUUUUUUAAAAGAAAAACUUUACAAACAAGAUAUAUGUAUAUAUGUAUGUAAUAUGUGUCUUAAUUUCUUAAUGGUUUUUAUCUAAGAAACUCAACUUUAAAAUGUUGUUCUUGGUCUUAUAAAACUGUAUAAAGUAUAUAUAAACAAUUCUUUAUGUUUGUGGCAGAUUGUCUCUUGAGAAAACGUCCUUGAAUAUGAAAUACUAGGGGCCUAACUAUGCAUAUUCAGCUCCUUAGCUAUUUGAAGUCACUAUCUAGCCAAAUCUUAGGAAAAAAUAUUAUCAACAAAAACUUCCAAUAAUUUUGCAAGCUAAAAGAAUAACAAUAACCUAUUGAUAGAUGACUAACCAUCCCCUACUAGUAAAACUGAAUCAUUGAAAGUUGUUGCAUCCACAAAAAUAGUAAAAAUAAAACCAACAUGUUCCAGCUUCAUUUAAUGCAAGAAUCACUCCACACAAGUGUUGAAAACUUGAAAGCAUAGAGGAUAACAAAAAUAAAACAACAUAACCAAUGUUCCACAUUUUGCAAUUUUGAAUGCUACAUUUCCACAUAAAUCAUGAAAUUAAGCAAUUUCAUCUAUAUCCCACAUAUAUACCACGUCUCAAAUCAGUAGUAAAAAGGUAUUGAAUACCAUGGUUUUAAUUUGUGGUUGGGGUCGCAGAUACGGUUGCAGUGGCGGGCGUUGAGAUUGUGGUCAUUACGAUUGUUGCAAUACGUAUUACGGUUAUUGUGACGUGAAUUUUGAUCGAGAAGAAUUCUAAAUACAACGUUGAAAAGCACUUAUUAUUAAGAUUUUUAAUUACAAAUGAAGGAAAUUCAUUUUUGUGGUCCUUAAGUUAUGAGUUUUAAUGAAAAUACUUGAAGAGACAAUGACUAGAUUGUCUCAUGGGAUUCCUAAUACAGCGGGAUAUGUGAUUUUAAAAUCAAAAUUAAACGGGUGUAAUUGUCGUUGCAAACCGCAAUUUAAAACCAUACUAGAAUACUAUAGUGCAAAAACAUAUUAAAUCUUAAAAGUGGAAAAACACUAUUUUGCAUUUCCUUGAGAGAUUUGAAGUGAGAGGUUUCAUGCUCUCAUACCGAAGGAGAAUGGGAUUUUGUCCCAAUUGGAUUAGAAUCAAAUUUUAGAGAAAAAAAAUUAGAAUUUUCAACCAUAUUGAGAGUUAAUAUUUUCCAUCUCAAAAUCAAAAUAAGAAAUUAAAGAAACAUUGUAAUCAAAAUUUAUCCAAUCAAAUUAAAAUUCGGUUUAAGUGUUUUCAAUAAAGAUGAGGCUUGUGUUUUCAAAAUAGGACCAAAACAAGGGUUUUGUUAAGCAUUUUCAUGACAUAAUCUUAACAAAAAUAUAGGCUAAAAUUUCAACAAAAAAAGGAUUGGAUUUAUAGAAAAGAGGAAUCAAGGUUUUAACAUAACUUUCGAUUUUCAAUACAGAAACACAAUCCAACAAUUUAAAACACAUGAUACUUACUCUAAGAGAAGGUAAACAUGCGGUUGUCUGAGAAGAGUCCAGCACGGUGGCUUGCUGUGGAGAAGAAGAAAAUGAUAAAAAGUACUCGAAUCAAAAUCUGUUUUCUUUGUCGAAGAGCUUUAGAAUGUCUCUCAACCUCCACUUUCAACUGCAGUUGCUGGAAAAAGGAGGACGAUAGUUGACGGCGAUGUUUCUAAAAAAACAUCAAACCAAUUCAUUAGAGAGGUGGGAUAAUGAGGAGCGUGAAUAUGGUCAUCUUAUUUAAUUUGAGUUGUGGAGAACAAAGAUAUAUGAGGAAGAAGGGGCGACUCUCUUUUUC